rnacentral:rRNA from 1 species
UACGAAGGGUGCAAGCGUUACUCGGAAUUACUGGGCGUAAAGCGUGCGCAGGCGGCUUCUCAAGUCAGGGGUGAAAGCCCAGAGCUCAACUCUGGAAUUGCCUUUGAGACUGAGUGGCUUGAGUACGAGAGAGGUGAGUGGAAUUCCCAGUGUAGAGGUGAAAUUCGUAGAUAUUGGGAAGAACACCGGUGGCGAAGGCGGCUCGUGGCUCGUAACUGACGCUCAUGCACGACAGCGUGGGGAUCAAACAGG